rnacentral:lncRNA from 1 species
GGUCCUCCGACCCUGGGGGAACGACGCUACUGAGAUCAAGCUCCGGAUACAGACCCUGGACUGCGCCCCGGGCGUCCUCGUACCCCACUCAGUACGAGAUGAAACCGCUCUCCAAGAGCUCCUCCCGAUAUUCGUCGGAGCCGCAGAAGUCCUCCACGGCCCGACUUAUUACCUCUUUCGCCGACUCUGCCUCCGCCCUCGCUAUGUCUACAUCGGCUUGAGCAAAGGACAAAUUCUCUUCGACCUUGGCGAGAUUUCCCAAACUUAUCCGGAGCUGCUCGCGUUCGGCUUUGAGUUCACCGACAUAGUCAUCCCGCUCGCGGCGCAGCCGGCGAACAGUGUGGCACUUUCAUUUGGCUUCCUCACGAGCCGACUGCAGCUCAGCCCCCGAGGUAGCCAGGGCAUCGAUAAGGUGGGAGACCUCCUCGGUAAGGCAGGAGAUCUCCUCUUCGAGCUGGGCCUCACGAUCGAUCGACUGUUUCAGCUGCUCGACCAUUAUCGCCUUCUCGGCCUCAGCGGCUGCGGCCCUAUCCUUCCAAGCCACCCA